GUGAAGGGUGGUGAAAAUGCGUUCUUUGCUCCCUUCCCCGCAGAAUUGGUAACCCUUCUAUUUGCAUAUAUCUUGAAUCGUUUCGCUGCAAUUCUCCCGCCACCGAACCCACACCCAUAUCUAGAUUGCACUUUGAGGCCUCUUCGGUGGUGAAGAUUGUUGGAUUACAACCCUUCAAAUCCAGGCUCAAAUUCAACUCCAGACUGAUGGGGCCUCUGUCUUGGAACUCUUGAAAUUGUAGGAGUUGAAACCCUGCACCCUCCUCCCACCCCCCAAAUAAUUGCAUUUCAGGAGAGAAAAAAGAAAAUAAAAACUUUGACUCUCUUCUCUAAACUCUUGAACCACCUCGAAAGUUCACAUGUUAAUAAUCCUCAUGUCGUCUUCUGUGUUCGUGCCUGCAAAAAGCCACUAUGUUGAAAUCAGUACAACUUUAAGCCAAGAUCUAAAAAUGCGUUCAGUGUAAACUUACUGCCUAUGUUCUGGAAUUGUGAUUCUGUACACCGUUAAGGUUGUCAUAAUGCUUUGUUUAAAGCAACAACUUUCUGCCCAUCUGUAUUUUUGAAAAAAAUAGUUUAUUUUUGGUAGAGAUGGAGGCGGGUCAUUGGUGUUAAUUAAAUAAACCUGAACCCCCAUUAGUGGCUCUAAUUUAUUUGCUGUUAAGAUUAAGUAGUAUUUAAUUGGUGGUCAAUAAAUGGAAUUGAUUAUUAAUCAAUGGAUACCUUUGAGUGAAGAUACAGUAUUUUACCUGUAUCAUUUAAACCUAAAGUUUUCUACAUUUUUAAUUAUUUAAAAAGCAUUGUUCCAACCUUUUUGGAAUUGUUGCACAAAAUGAUUUUAGUUCAAGAUAUUUACUUAUAUGUAUAAGUAUGCUGUGUGGUAAGUUUGUAAACGUGCAGAAGAUAAUUAUAGAUGAGGAAUUCAGUGUCCUCAGAAGUAACUGACAACACCCUGUGAAUUGUUAUUAUUAACAGAAAUCAAAUUCUUCCUGAAUAUUCCUUUACUGCUUAGUGUAUGCUUGUAAGUUAAAGGGGGAAAGUUAAAAUGUAGCUGUUUAAUGUUUUCAGAGAAAAAUUUUCAUAAAAUGUCUGUUUGACUUUGAUUUUUUUAUAGUGAUAAAUAUUGAUGCGGCAGAAACUUUACCAGCUUAUAUUAACAAUCCCAGAAUCAUUGAAACCUAAAGGAUUUUUUUGUUUGUGAGCAUCUGUGGGUUUACUGAAGUUAUGUACUAACUUUCUACAGCUCCACUGAAAUAUUUAUGUUCUAUAAGAUUUGUAUAGCUCUUUAGACAUUUUAUGCAUUUGCUGUCUUACAGCCAGUAUUGUACCGAUUAACUGUAUUUGCUGUUUUCCAGUUUAUUUCCAAGGGGAUUUACUAAGUUACAUGAAUUGUAAAGUUUUAGAAGUAUAUUUUCAGAAAGCUUGGUUGUUACAGAGUUCUUCAGCUUUUUGUUGCUAUUUGUCUGAAUAUAAUUUUGUUGCUGUUUAUAUAAAUAUAAAAACUAGCAUUGUUAGUAUGGGGUAAGAAUUGAAAGCAUUUCAUUGAGAUGUACGACAUUUACAUUAAAAUGACUUGUAGGUUUUUAUUUUACUGGACCUAAAUUUCAGAAAUGGGAAAAACAACUAUUUUAAUUCCAUCCUCAUAAUAAUUUCUAAGUUAAUAUUUUUGGUAUAGUAUUUGAGAGUAGAAUUCCAAUAAGAAGCAAUGAAAAUCAUACAAAUAAAGGGAGACUGUAAGUGUCCUGUUUAUAAUUUGUGAAAACUAGAUGACCAAGGGUAUUAAAAAUAGAACUAAAAUAAAAGGGAAAAAUAAGGACUUUAGUGAGACUUGUAGGGAGAUCCACAUAAAAUGAACAGAUUUUAGUCUUUAAAACCUCUAUUUUGCCAGCUCAAAAGUUUUAUUUUUACGUAGAAAGAACUAAGGAAACUUAAGUGAUUUGAAAUGGCCGAUACAGAAACACUUGUGAGCUUGAGAUGAGCAGGAGCUAAAAUAAGUGAAAGAGAGGACUGAGAGAGAAGGAUCAUGGGAGUGAUUCAUUUGCUGAACAAGUAAAUGUUCAGUGAGCUCUGAUUGGCAGGAUGGGAGGAGUAUAGGGCCGUGGGGGAUGUGUCUGGAUCUCCUUGGGAGCCUUAUUGACAGUAUUAGCUUGGUCAGUGGCUAUAGAGUAGGAGAUGUACAGAGUGGAAGAAGCAAGAGCAUUUGUUUUUUUAAGGUAUUUGUAUUUGCUUGAGUUUUUGAGACUUGAAAGUCUUCCUCCCCACCUGUUUUCUUAAUGAGUGAAACAUUUUUAACAUUGAUUGGUUGUUCUGUACCCCUUACUUGACCAUUACCAUGCACUGCCUUUGGUGUUAAUCAUUACAAAACAGUCUUUUAUUACAGUAGUAAUAUAUCUCCUCCUAUAAAGGAAGUGGGGAAAAACCUAACAGUAAGUUUGCGAUGAGACUUUAAAUGCACAAACUGAAAUGUAAUUAUAAGUGACAUCGAAAUUGUGUACACAUUGGAAGUUUUUGGUAAGAGUUGUAAAGAUGCGAUAGUUGCAGUUACUAUAGAUGGUAUAUUUAGUGUGCUAUAUAGUAAUCUGCAAAGAACUACCUCCCUUUGUGGUUUAUUUGUAUAAUGGUGAUUAUGCUAUAGAAUACUGCUUGAGUGCAUUGUAUUUGCUAGCCAUCAUUUACUAGCAAGUUGUUCCUAUUGAGGUUUAUUGUAUUUUAAUAUAGUUGUGCUGGAGAUAGUUCCCUACUAUGGAAGUUUCCUAGAUUAUUAAAACAUUAAGUAGUAAAUGUAUUAAAACACUACCACAGAGGUCAAAUUAAGGUUUCUUGGCAUACUGGUAAAACAAAAUACAGGAAUUACGUAAGAAAUCUGGUAUGAUUUCUGGCAGAUUUCUGCUGUUUCUGUACGUUGCACGCGAUCGGUAUUUAAUAAAGAUCUUUUGAAUGAAUUAAAUACAUUGUUUUGGUGAACUGUCAGGUCAGUGAUCCCUCAGUGUUUGCAUGUUGAUUCAUUUAUUUCAUAUUUGUUGAAUACUUAGUAAAAAAUAAUAGGUCUUGCUGUCAGUGGUGCAUACAUAGUAGUGAAAGAAAUCAAAAAACAAAUUUUAAAAGCCAGAUAAUGGUGACUUACGUAGAGAAUUGAAAUAGGGUGAGGUAAUGUGAUAGUGCAUGACUGGGUGGCUACUUUUAAAGUAACUAGUCACAGAAGGCCUUUCUAAAUAAGGUGACAUUUAAACUGAGAUCUGAAUAAUGAUAAGCACUCAGAGAUGGGGAGAGAUUUUCUGUAGGGAAAGACCUUUAAGACUGUGUUUUGGGAAUCAAAAAAGGUGAAAGCACUGAAAGAGAAGAUAGAAUCUGAAAAAGGGAAAGAUGCCUUUCCUGUGGCAGGUCAAAAAUUAAUUUAUGCAGG